UACGGGGGGAGCAAGCGUUGUUCGGAUUUACUGGGCGUAAGGGGCGCGUAGGCGGCCACCGCAAGUCGGUUGUGAAAUCUCUGGGCUUAACCCAGAAAGGUCAACCGAUACUGCGGGGCUAGAGUGCAGAAGGGGCAACUGGAAUUCUCGGUGUAGCGGUGAAAUGCGUAGAUAUCGAGAGGAACACCUGCGGCGAAGGCGGCCUUCUGGACAGUGACUGACGCUGAGACGCGAAAGCGUGGGGAGCAAACAGG
rnacentral:rRNA from 1 species